AAGGGUGAUUAUGAACCUAAGCCUAAUAUAAUUGAGCUAUGUGAAAGGCCGUUUCAAAAUUGUUUGAACCAUGGGAAUGUGUAGAUUAGAUUUUGGUUGUAAUUUGAUUUGAUCAAAUGUUGUAAAAGGGCAUAAGCCCUUCUUUACUUUAAGGUAAUUUGUUUUAUGCAAAUGUUGUAAUGAGCAUAAGCUCACCUUUACUUUGAAGUACUUCUUUCUUGCUUUAUAUGAUAUGCAUGAAAAUGAAGUAGUUGGGUCCAACGCCCCUAAGACAACAUGCCUUAAUGUGAUUAAACGCGUAACUAAAAUCAAUCACCAUCCCUAGACCGAGAUUCAAGACUAGGCUCGUGUUGAAUCUAAACAAAGGUUCAUAAUCAUCCUAAGGCCCUAAGGCAACUAUAUAGUCCAUCAAAUG
rnacentral:lncRNA from 1 species